UACGUAGGGUCCGAGCGUUGUCCGGAAUUACUGGGCGUAAAGAGCUCGUAGGUGGUUUGUCGCGUUGUUCGUGAAAACUCACAGCUCAACUGUGGGCGUUCGGGCGAUACGGGCAGACUUGAGUACUGCAGGGGAGACUGGAAUUCCUGGUGUAGCGGUGGGAUGCGCAGAUAUCAGGAGGAACACCGGUGGCGAAGGCGGGUCUCUGGGCAGUAACUGACGCUGAGGAGCGAAAGCGUGGGGAGCGAACAGG
rnacentral:rRNA from 1 species